UAUGAACGCUGGCGGCGUGCCUAAUACAUGCAAGUCGAGCGAACGGACGAGAAGCUUGCUUCUCUGAUGUUAGCGGCGGACGGGUGAGUAACACGUGGAUAACCUACCUAUAAGACUGGGAUAACUUCGGGAAACCGGAGCUAAUACCGGAUAAUAUUUUGAACCGCAUGGUUCAAAAGUGAAAGACGGUCUUGCUGUCACUUAUAGAUGGAUCCGCGCUGCAUUAGCUAGUUGGUAAGGUAACGGCUUACCAAGGCAACGAUGCAUAGCCGACCUGAGAGGGUGAUCGGCCACACUGGAACUGAGACACGGUCCAGACUCCUACGGGAGGCAGCAGUAGGGAAUCUUCCGCAAUGGGCGAAAGCCUGACGGAGCAACGCCGCGUGAGUGAUGAAGGUCUUCGGAUCGUAAAACUCUGUUAUUAGGGAAGAACAUAUGUGUAAGUAACUGUGCACAUCUUGGCGGUACCUAAUCAGAAAGCCACGGCUAACUACGUGCCAGCAGCCGCGGUAAUACGUAGGUGGCAAGCGUUAUCCGGAAUUAUUGGGCGUAAAGCGCGCGUAGGCGGUUUUUUAAGUCUGAUGUGAAAGCCCACGGCUCAACCGUGGAGGGUCAUUGGAAACUGGAAAACUUGAGUGCAGAAGAGGAAAGUGGAAUUCCAUGUGUAGCGGUGAAAUGCGCAGAGAUAUGGAGGAACACCAGUGGCGAAGGCGACUUUCUGGUCUGUAACUGACGCUGAUGUGCGAAAGCGUGGGGAUCAAACAGGAUUAGAUACCCUGGUAGUCCACGCCGUAAACGAUGAGUGCUAAGUGUUAGGGGGUUUCCGCCCCUUAGUGCUGCAGCUAACGCAUUAAGCACUCCGCCUGGGGAGUACGACCGCAAGGUUGAAACUCAAAGGAAUUGACGGGGACCCGCACAAGCGGUGGAGCAUGUGGUUUAAUUCGAAGCAACGCGAAGAACCUUACCAAAUCUUGACAUCCUUUGACAACUCUAGAGAUAGAGCUUUCCCCUUCGGGGGACAAAGUGACAGGUGGUGCAUGGUUGUCGUCAGCUCGUGUCGUGAGAUGUUGGGUUAAGUCCCGCAACGAGCGCAACCCUUAAGCUUAGUUGCCAUCAUUAAGUUGGGCACUCUAAGUUGACUGCCGGUGACAAACCGGAGGAAGGUGGGGAUGACGUCAAAUCAUCAUGCCCCUUAUGAUUUGGGCUACACACGUGCUACAAUGGACAAUACAAAGGGCAGCGAAACCGUGAGGUCAAGCAAAUCCCAUAAAGUUGUUCUCAGUUCGGAUUGUAGUCUGCAACUCGACUACAUGAAGCUGGAAUCGCUAGUAAUCGUAGAUCAGCAUGCUACGGUGAAUACGUUCCCGGGUCU
rnacentral:rRNA from 1 species